AUCCUUUGGUAGCUAGCUCAUAAGCGUGGUGGUCACGCACUUAUGUGAGAUGUGCUUCCCACAAACCUUGUUACGACUUUGGCCCAUCUGACAUUACCCAUGUGAUC
rfam:Myotis brandtii contig284871, whole genome shotgun sequence.